UGUUCAGGGGUAAACCUGUGGUUCCCGAAAGUUCGAACGGGGAGAUUCAAUUGCCUCGCCGGUUAUGACCAUUUAACAGUGAUGUGUUUAUGAUAUAUAUUUGAGACAUUAUAUGGCGGUUGCGGGUUUAUUCUCGUAGCUGUUUCUGUAUAGUGCUCCACUGUUUUAUGAUAUAUAGUUUAUAGCCGGAGGCGUGCACUUCUCCCCUUGUAGGACGUCGUGACCCAUUGGAUUAUGUUGUCUAAGGCUUAUAAUGGAGACCGUGGCAUUAAGUUUCGGCUUUAAUGACCCGGACUUAUAAUGUCCCGACAUCUAUCCGAUGGUAUAAUUAUGAUGAUAGAUCGCUAUAAAUGUGAUAUGAGCGUUCAGAUCCAUAACAAAUUCUUAUUAUGAGAUAUAGUGGAAAUCGGAUUUAAUGCCGAUUCUACACAUAUGGUAUUGAUAGUUGUGGUAUUCUCGAACCGUUCUUUAUCAUCAGUCAACGGCGUUUAUGUUUUGGGUAAUUACAGGACCCGUCUUGAAACACGGACCAAGGAGUCUAGCAUGUGCGCAAGUCAUUGGGACUUUGUGAAACCUAAAGGCGUAAUGAAAGUGAAAUAUUUGUGAAUUUUCGUAAUUCACUGAAUUUAAGGGAAGAUGGGUAACGUUUU
rnacentral:rRNA from 1 species